AUGGAGAGUGCCAUUGAUUAAGAAUUCCAACAUGAGAUAUGUGAAUCCGGUUUGGAUAAUAUUGACAGACAAGCUGCGAAUGGAGAACUAGAUGAUGAUGGGAAACCCAAAAGAGCUGGGACUGUGUGGAUUGCAAGUGCACGUAUAAUUACUGCUGUGAUAAGCACUGGGGUUCUCUCACUGGCCUGGAGUGUGGCACAACUCAGAUGGAUUUUCGGCAUAAGCAUUGUCUUAAUUUUUGCAGUGAUUACAUUAUAUACUGCCAAUCUUUUAGCAGAUUGUUACAGGUGCCCAGACCCAGUUACUGGGAGGCGAAAUUACACAUACAUGGAGGCUGUCCAAAACAUCUUAGGUGGAGAAAUGCACAUGGCUUGUGGGUUGGUCCAAAAUAUGAGCCUUAUUGGAAUUUUGAUCGGCUAUACCAUAACAACAUCUAAAAGCAUGGUGGCUAUACAUAAAUCACAUUGCUUUCACAAAAGAGGCCAUGAAGCUCCAUGCAAGUUUUCCAACAAUCCAUACAUGAUUGCAUUGGGGAUUUUUGAGAUUUUAUUGUCUCAAAUCCCAAACUUUCAUGAAUUGUCGUGGCUGUCCAGUGUGGCAGCAAUUAUGUCUUUCGGUUAUGCGAGUAUAGGGAUUGGACUUUCAUUUGCAAGGGUCAUCUCGGGGCCAAGGGGGAGAACCACUAUGACUGGAGUGGAAGUAGGGGUUGAUGUAUCUCAAGCAGAAAAAAUUUGGAGAGAGUGCACAGCAUUGGGAAACAUUGCAAUUGCUUGCGCAUAUACUUUUAUUGCAAUCGAUGUCCAAGACACGUUAAAGUCAUCACCGCCUGAAAAUAAAGUGAUGAAGAAGGCUAACACAAUAGCUAUCUCGACCAUGACAGUAUUCUUCCUCAUGUGCGGUUGCCUUGGCUAUGCUGCAUUUGGGAACGAGGCACAGGGCAACAUGCUGACCGGCUUUGGGUUUUACGAGCCCUUCUGGUUGAUAGAAUUGGGCAAUAUCAUGAUUGUGGUGCACCUAUUGGGAUCAUAUCAGGUAAUUGGGCAACAAGUCUUCCGCAUGUUAGAAUUAUGGGCUAGCAUGAGGUGGCCUAACUCAAAGUUCGUAGCUGUGGAGUACCCAUUAAACAUUGGCAAAAUAAGAUUUAGUAUCAACUUCUUAAGGCUAAUUUGGAGAACAAUUUUUGUGGUGAUAAUAACAGUUCUUGCCAUGGCUAUGCCAUUUUUCAAUGAGAUGCUUUCACUUCUUGGAGCCAUUGCGUUCUGGCCAGUUGCGGUCUAUUUCCCAGUGGAGAUGUACAUUGCUCAGACAAAGAUUAGGAAACGAACAUUUCAGUGGUUCGGGCUUCAAAUCUUGAGCUUGUUUUGCUUUCUCGUUUCAUUGGCUGCAGCAUGUGGUGCCAUCCAAGGAUUAAAUAAGGGUCUUCAUGCUAGCAAGCCUUUCCAGUUCAAAGAGUGA